rnacentral:rRNA from 1 species
UCUGAAUAGGGCGCCAUAGUACGUUGUUGUAGACCCGAAACCGUGUGAUCUACCCAUGUCCAGGGUGAAGUCCAGGUAACACUGGAUGGAGGCCCGAACCCACGCACGUUGAAAAGUGCGGGGAUGAGGUGUCGGUAGGGGUGAAAUGCCAAUCGAACACGGAGAUAGCUGGUUCUCCCCGAAAUAGCUUUAGGGCUAGCCUCGAGGGAAGAGUCUUGGAGGUAGAGCACUGAUUGGACUAGGGGUCCCCACAGGAUUACCGAAUUCAGUCAAACUCCGAAUGCCAAUGACUUAUCCUCGGGAGUCAGACUGCGAGUGCUAAGAUCCGUAGUCAAGAGGGAAACAGCCCAGACCAUCAGCUAAGGUCCCAAAGUAUACGUUAAGUGGAGAAGGAUGUGGAGUUGCUUAGACAACCAGGAUGUUGGCUUAGAAGCAGCCACCAUUGAAAGAGUGCGUAAUAGCUCACUGGUCGAGUGACUCUGCGCCGAAAAUGUACCG